rnacentral:lncRNA from 1 species
AGCGCAGUCUCUGAAGCGUUCACUGUUCAGCUUUAAACAGAUUGAAAUGAUCCACCAGGGAAGCGAGAACAAACCCCAGGGCUGUGUGCAGGCAGCAUUCAGAGCUGGCCCUGAGCUGCUGUGGAAGGGCGAGCUGCGCCGGCCAACAUGUCCGAGCUGAAGGGCUGACAACUGGGAAAACAGAGCCAUGGAGAAGGCCGGCAUUCCAGGGGCCAGCGGUGAUUUCCUAUCAGACGGUCCUCAGCAUGGAAUUAUUGAUAGCUGUGAUGCCGAAAGGGAGCCAGUUGGCUAAUGCCUGGAAGGGCUGAACCCCCGCUCACGGAUGAUCUGCUGCAAGAUAUCUUAACUAGACUGAAGCCCUGACUCCGCAAGGAACUCAGACUGCCUUAGGAGGAGAGAAAACUUCAUGAGCCCGAGGCAGAGCUAUGGAAACAUAUGCAUACCCCAGCCCAGAGGUUGGACUAGAUGGCCUGGCUGUCGGAACACAAGGCAUGAGACUUUGAGGGAAUCCGGAGUGGGACUGUGAGGGGCCACACAAGCAAAACACUUUCAAAUCAGGAGGAGCUGAUAGCAAAUCACCACUGGCCCCUGGGAUACUGGCGUUCCCCACUUUCAAACACUAAAGGAGACAAAGACAUUUGCUCUUGGUUAGAAGGCCAGGAGUACAGAUUCCCAGGGAUCUGCCACGCCUCCGGAAAUCUCAGGUUUGUGACAGCUGCCCUCCGUGGCUCCCUCAGGGAUAACAGAACAGUACUUUCUGGAAGCAGAUUCAUGAGGCAGAUCAGAGGAGUUCAGCUGUUGCUGUCUGUAAAAGAAUUUAUAAUUUGUACCUUGCUGCACCCAACUUGCUUUUGGGCAUCCUCACUUGGGUGCUUGAAGUUGGUAUGCCCUCUGUCCAGACAAGCAUCUUCUUGGGCUAUUAAUUAUGUAAUUAAAGGUCUGAACCUUCUCAUUUAAGAUGAUAAUAAAAUGUUUAAAGCUAUGCUGCUUA